rnacentral:rRNA from 1 species
GAUGAACGCUGGCGGCGUGCCUAAUACAUGCAAGUCGAGCGAAUGGAUUAAGAGCUUGCUCUUAUGAAGUUAGCGGCGGACGGGUGAGUAACACGUGGGUAACCUGCCCACAAGACUGGGAUAACUCCGGGAAACCGGGGCUAAUACCGGAUAACAUUUUGAACCGCAUGGUUCGAAAUUGAAAGGCGGCUUCGGCUGUCACUUAUGGAUGGACCCGCGUCGCAUUAGCUAGUUGGUGAGGUAACGGCCCACCAGGGCAACGAUGCGUAGCCGACCUGAGAGGGUGAUCGGCCACACUGGGACUGAGACACGGCCCAGACUCCUACGGGAGGCAGCAGUAGGGAAUCUUCCGCAAUGGACGAAAGUCUGACGGAGCAACGCCGCGUGAGUGAUGAAGGCUUUCGGGUCGUAAAACUCUGUUGUUAGGGAAGAACAAGUGCUAGUUGAAUAAGCUGGCACCUUGACGGUACCUAACCAGAAAGCCACGGCUAACUACGUGCCAGCCGCCGCAGUAA